rnacentral:rRNA from 1 species
AUGGCUCAGAUUGAACGCUGGCGGCAUGCCUUACACAUGCAAGUCGAACGGUAACAGGUCUUCGGACGCUGACGAGUGGCGAACGGGUGAGUAAUACAUCGGAACGUGCCCAGUCGUGGGGGAUAACUACUCGAAAGAGUAGCUAAUACCGCAUACGAUCUGAGGAUGAAAGCGGGGGACCUUCGGGCCUCGCGCGAUUGGAGCGGCCGAUGGCAGAUUAGGUAGUUGGUGGGAUAAAAGCUUACCAAGCCGACGAUCUGUAGCUGGUCUGAGAGGACGACCAGCCACACUGGGACUGAGACACGGCCCAGACUCCUACGGGAGGCAGCAGUGGGGAAUUUUGGACAAUGGGCGAAAGCCUGAUCCAGCAAUGCCGCGUGCAGGAUGAAGGCCUUCGGGUUGUAAACUGCUUUUGUACGGAACGAAAAAGCUUCUCCUAAUACGAGAGGCCCAUGAC